AUGACUAACAAUUUUAAGAACCAUAGAGUUGAAGCACAGGCUACCAUAAGGUUAGUGACAGGGAAACUGACCUACCCUGAAACUCUAGCAAGGCAUCUUUUAUACGGUGAGAUUGACUUCAGAUGUGAUUAUGAGAAGCGUUAUAUUCGUGAAAGGAAUGGCAAUUGUAACACCACAAGCAAAGACUACAUUGAUGAAAAACUUCCAUUUGUGCUUUACGCAAGGACGCUCCCUUUCCAAACAGGCAAAAGAGUAAAAACGAUCCCCAUGACUUAUGAAAGACAGCUUUUUAAAGACAACAGCUUGACCCUAGCAACUAACACAAUCCAUCACCUGCUGUCGAGCAACCAAGAGCAAGAAAAGAAGUGGUUAGAAAAGGUACCACCAGCUCUGGAGCUUUAUGCUUUGUUCACUGGAGAAACCUCAGAGGCGGUGCAUGUGCCGGCGAGAAGAUGGCGGCGGCGGGGAAAGCAGCGGGAGCAGGCGGAGGAACGCGGAGUCCCAUUGAAACGCGCAGCCACGGCCCUCCACAGCCCGCAGUAUAUUUGUGGAGAUUUUAGCCCUGACGAAUUCAAUCAGUUCUUUGUGACUCCUCGAUCUUCAGUUGAGCUUCCUCCGUACAGUGGAACAGUUCUGUGUGGCACACAGGCUGUGGAUAAACUACCUGAUGGACAAGAAUAUCAGAGAGUUGAGUUUGGUGUCAAUGAAGUCAUUGAAUCCAGUGACACGUUGCCGAGAACCCCUAGCUACAGUAUUUCCAGCACACUGAACCCUCAGGCCCCUGAAUUUAUUCUCAAUUGUAGAACUUCCAAAACAACCCCUGAUGGUAUCACUAAAGAAGCAAACUAUGGCUCCAUCGACUGCCAGUACCCAGGCUCUGCCCUCGCUUUGGAUGGAAGUUCUAAUGUGGAGGCGGAAGUUUUGGAAAAUGAUGGUGUCUCAAGUGGUCUCGGACAAAGGGAGCGUAAAAAGAAGAAAAAGUGGCCACCUGGAUAUUACAGCUAUUUGAAAGAUGGUGGUGAUGAUAGUAUUUCCACAAAAGCCCUGGUCAAUGGCCAUGCCAGUUCGGCAGUCCCCAACAGUGUCAGUGCAGAGGUUGCAGAAUUUAUGGGUGACAUGCCCCCGUCCGUUACUCCCAGGACUUGUAACAGCCCCCAGAACUCCACGGACUCUGUCAGUGACACUGUGCCUGACAGUCCUUUCCCCGGAGCACUCGGCAGUGACACCAGGACUGCAGGGUAGCCGGAGGGGGUCCCCGGGGCUAAUUUUGGCCAGUCCUGCUUCUCUACAGAGGCUGACAGAGACACCCUGGCAAGGACAGCUGGGGCUCAGCCCUGCGUUGGUACCGAUACUACUGAAAACCUUGGAGUUGCUAAUGGGCAAAUACUUGAAUCCUCGGGUGAGCGCACAGCUACCAACGGGGUGGAGUUGCACACCACAGAAAGCAUAGACUUGGACCCAACCAAACCCGAGAGUGCAUCACCUCCGGCUGACGGCACGGGCUCUACAUCAGGCACCCUUCCUGUCACCCAGCCCAAGUCCUGGGCCAGUCUGUUUCAUGAUUCUAAGCCCUCUUCCUCCUCGCUGGUGGCCUAUGUGGAAACUAAGUAUUCCCCUCCCGCCUAUCUCUCCUGGUUUCUGUAAAGCAGGUUGAAGUCAAAGAAGGGCUUGUUCCAGUUUCAGAGGAUCCUGUAGCCAUAAAGAUUGCAGUGACUGGAGAAUGCAACCUUAAUCCAUAAACCAGUGUCGUUGCAACCCCACGGGCUGAUCAGUAAAGGGAAGUGGUGAUACAUUAAUGCUACACUGCAGGCACUGGCUGCUUGCCCGCCAAUGUACCACCUGAUGAAGUUCAUUCCUCUGUAUUCCAAAGUGCAAAGGCCUCGUACGUCAACACCCAUGAUAGACAGCUUUGUUCGGCUAAUGAAUGAGUUUACUAAUAUGCCAUACCUCCAAAACCCCGACAAGCUCUUGGAGAUAAAAUCGUCAGGGGCAUUCACCCUGGAGCUGCCUUUGAGCCCACAUGUAUUUACAGACUCCUGACAGUUAACAAGUCAAGCCUGCCUGAAAAGGGUCGACAAGAUGAUGCUGAGGAAUACUUAGGCUUCAUCCUAAAUGGACUUCAUGAAGAAAUGUUGAACCUAAAGAAGCUUCUCCCACCAAAUAAUGAAAAACUUACGAUUUCCAAUGGCCCCCAAAACCACUCUAUUAAUGAAGAAGAGCAGGAAGAACAAGGUGAAGAAAGCAAGGAUGAAUGGGAGCAAGUGGACCCCUGGAACAAGACUUCCGUCACCCGCCAGGCGGAGUUUGUUCAGACUCCAGUCACCGGCAUUUUUGGUCUGUGGUUUACUAGCAGAGUUCAAAAGAAUCUGCCACUUUGCAGCCAUUUUUUCACAUUGCAGUAGGAUAUCCAGUGUAACAAGAUACGCACACCCCAGGACGCACUGGAGAGCUUGGUGACAAGAGAAUCUGUCCAAGGUUAUACCACAAAAACCAAACAAGAAGUUGAGAUAGUCGAAGAGUGACUGGAAAAACUCCCUCCUCUCCUUGUGCUACACCUGAAACGAUUCGUUUAUGAGAAGACUGGUGGGUGCCAGAAGCUUAUCAAAAAUAUUGAAUAUCCUGUGGACUUGGAAAUUAGUAAAGAACUGCUUUCUCCAGGGGUUAAAAAUAAGAAUUUUAAAUGCCACAGAACCUAUUGGCUCGUUGCAGUGGUCUACCAUCAGGGCAACAGUGCGACGGGAGGCCAAUCCACUACAGACGUCUUCCAGAUCGGUCUGAAUGGCUGGCUGCGCAUUGAUGACCAGACACUCAAGGUGAUCAGCCAGUACCAGGUGGUGAAACCAACUGCUGAACGCACAGCCUACCUCCUGUAUUACCGCCGAGUGGACCUGGUGUAAACCCUCUGUGCCCUGUGUGUGCGCCCAGUGCCCGCUUCGUAGGACACCACCUCACACUCACUUUCCGCCUCUCUUUAGUGGCUCUUUAGAGAGAAACUCUUUCUCCCUUUGCAAGAAUGGGCUAGAACGAAAAGGAGA